GGUAUCCUGUGUUGCUUACCAAUGAAAUGGAAUUUGAUGGUCUUGUUAUGUGGAUUCGCCUUGUGCUCUUUGGGGUGCGAGGUGGACAUGCGGUGAGCACUGUGCUCCCAACAUGCCAAGUGCAUUGGUGUUUGGUUGUUGUGGCGUAUGGUGUCUUUGCUUGUUCUCUCGGAUGCAGAAAGCUAAGUGUGGGCAUGAGGUCUUGACCUUGAAUCGUCCAAGCACUGUCUCUUGACUCGAAUGACUGCUGCGCUUGUCUUUGAUCUUUCCGACCAAGGCCUCGUAACGGGGCUUACUGGACGAGGGUGGAUCAUGCAGGUGUUAGCGUCAAAGAGGAAAGCUAC
rnacentral:misc_RNA from 1 species